rnacentral:rRNA from 1 species
UACAGAGGUCUCAAGCGUUUGUUCGGAUUCAUUGGGCGUAAAGGGUGCGUAGGUGGCGCCGUAAGUCAGGUGUGAAAUUUCGGAGCUUAACUCCGAAACUGCAUUUGAUACUGCGGUGCUUUGAGGACUGGAGAGGAGACUGGAAUUCACGGUGUAGCAGUGAAAUGCGUAGAUAUCGUGAGGAAGACCAGUGGCGAAGGCGGGGUCUCUGGACAGU